rnacentral:rRNA from 1 species
AUGCGUAGAUAUCGGGAAGAACACCAGUGGCGAAGGCGCUCUGCUGGGCCAUUACUGACGCUCAUGGACGAAAGCCAGGGGAGCGAAAGGGAUUAGAUACCCCUGUAGUCCUGGCCGUAAACGAUGAACACUAGGUGUCGGGGGAAUCGACCCCUUCGGUGUCGUAGCUAACGCGUUAAGUGUUCCGCCUGGGGAGUACGCACGCAAGUGUGAAACUCAAAGGAAUUGACGGGGGCCCGCACAAGCGGUGGAGUAUGUGGUUUAAUUCGAUGCAACGCGAAGAACCUUACCAGGGUUUGACAUCCUGCGAACCUCUUAGAAAUUUGAGGGUGCCUUCGGGAAUGCAGUGACAGGUGGUGCAUGGCUGUCGUCAGCUCGUGUCGUGAGAUGUUGGGUUAAGUCCCGCAACGAGCGCAACCCACGUUUUUAGUUGCCAGCAUUUAGUUGGGCACUCUAGAAAGACCGCCGGUGAUAAACCGGAGGAAGGUGUGGAUGACGUCAAGUCAUCAUGCCCCUUACACCCUGGGCUACACACGUACUACAAUGCCACGGACAAAGGGCAGCAAACUCGCGAGAGCUAGCAAAUCCCAUAAACCGUGGCUCAGUUCAGAUCGUAGGCUGCAACUCGCCUACGUGAAGUAGGAAUCGCUAGUAAUCGCAGGUCAGCAUACUGCGGUGAAUACGUUCCCGGGCCUUGUACACACCGCCCGUCACACCAUGGAAGUUGGCCAUGCCCGAAGUCGUUACUCCAACCCUUGUGGAGGAGGACGCCGAAGGUGGGGCUAAUGACUGGGGUGAAGUCGUAACAAGGUAGCCGUA